GACGAACGCUGGCGGCGUGCUUAACACAUGCAAGUCGAACGGAAAGGCCCUGCUUUUGUGGGGUGCUCGAGUGGCGAACGGGUGAGUAACACGUGAGUAACCUGCCCUUGACUUUGGGAUAACUUCAGGAAACUGGGGCUAAUACCGGAUAGGAGCUCCUGCUGCAUGGUGGGGGUUGGAAAGUUUCGGCGGUUGGGGAUGGACUCGCGGCUUAUCAGCUUGUUGGUGGGGUAGUGGCUUACCAAGGCUUUGACGGGUAGCCGGCCUGAGAGGGUGACCGGCCACAUUGGGACGGAGAUACGGCCCAGACUCCUACGGGAGGCAGCAGUGGGGAAUAUUGCACAAUGGGCGGAAGCCUGAUGCAGCAACGCCGCGUGCGGGAUAACGGCCUUCGGGUGGUAAACCGCUUUCGCCUGUGACGAAGCGUGAGUGACGGUAAUGGGUAAAGAAGCACCGGCUAACUACGG
rnacentral:rRNA from 1 species